rnacentral:rRNA from 1 species
AUCGACCUGAGAUCAGGCAAGGCUACCCGCUGAACUUAAGCAUAUCAAUAAGCGGAGGAAAAGAAACUAACCAGGAUUCCCCUAGUAACGGCGAGUGAACCGGGAAAAGCCCAGCUUGAAAAUCUCUGGCCCUCGGCCAGCGAAUUGUAGUCUAGAGAAGCGUCCUCUGCGGGGCGCCGGCCCCAAGUUCCCUGGAAAGGGACGUCAGAGAGGGUGAGAACCCCGUCGGGCCGGUCGACCUCCGCUCCACGAGGCGCUUUCGAAGAGUCGGGUUGUUUGGGAAUGCAGCCCUAAGCCGGUGGUAAAUCCCAUCUAAGGCUAAAUACCAACGGGAGACCGAUAGCGGACAAGUACAGUGAUGGAAAGAUGAAAAGAACUUUGAAAAGAGAGUUAAAAAGUGCGUGAAAUUGUUGAGGGGGAAGUGCUUGGAGGCUGCGGGUGCGCCCAGGCUGAUGCCCGGCUUUGGCCCGGCUGUAUGCUCUGGGCGCUGGUCAGCGUCGGUUCACCGGGCGGGAGAAAAGCGGCGGUUGCUACGCCGUGGAUGUCGCCUGGUGGUCCGAGGUGCAA